GUAGGUGGCAAGCGUUGUCCGGAAUUAUUGGGCGUAAAGCGCGCGCAGGCGGUUCUUUAAGUCUGAUGUGAAAGCCCACGGCUCAACCGUGGAGGGUCAUUGGAAACUGGAGAACUUGAGUACAGAAGAGGAAAGCGGAAUUCCACGUGUAGCGGUGAAAUGCGUAGAGAUGUGGAGGAACACCAGUGGCGAAGGCGGCUUUCUGGUCUGUAACUGACGCUGAGGCGCGAAAGCGUGGGGAGCAAACAGGAUUAGAUACCCUGGUAGUCCACGCCGUUAACGAUGAGUGCUAAGUGUUAGGGGGUUUCCGCCCCCCUUAGUGCUGCAGCUAACGCAUUAAGCACUCCGCCUGGGAGUACGGCCGCAAGGCUG
rnacentral:rRNA from 1 species